AAGGACACACAGAGACACACGGGGAGACGGGCACGUGACCACGGAGGCAGAGACUGAGGUCAAGAAUCCUUGGCUCCCUGCCUCAAGGAUGCCUUGGAAGGGCCUCCCCUGGGGGACCUGUGCCCUAAACUGUAUGCCUUGCACCCACUGCAAGUCCUGGUGCAGAACAGAUGCUCAGUAACCACUGACAAGCAAACAGCCUGCACCACGAGGGGCUGAGGAUGGCCUCCAGCAAAGUCAGCAGACCUUCAGUGCAAGAGCCUGUAAGUUACUGCAUCUUGCCAACAACAUGAGUGGUCGUGGAAGGGGGUCCUGCGUCGGUCGUGCCUCCCGAUGACCGAUGCCCAGUGGGCACCUGGAUUACAGACUUUGAGGGGCCUGCGGGGUAAUAAAUGUUGUGGUUUCAAAGCCACGAAGUUUUGGGGAUAGUUUGUUAGGCAGAAGGUAACUAGCUAAUGCAAUGCACAUACAUAAAGGAAAAACUAUCGACUGUAAUAAAUGUCCU